AUGGGGGGCGUGCUUACCAUGGGCAGUCGAACGAAGCGCUUUACCUUGAUUCCUUCGGGUUGAUUGGUACUGUGACUGAGUGGCGGACGGGUGAGUAACGCGUGGGUAACCUGCCCCAUACAGGGGGAUAACAGAUAGAAAUGUCUGCUAAUACCGCAUAAGACCACAGCGCCGCAUGGCGCAGGGGUAAAAACUCCGGUGGUAUGGGAUGGACCCGCGUCUGAUUAGCUAGUUGGUGGGGUAAAGGCCCACCAAGGCGACGAUCAGUAGCCGACCUGAGAGGGUGACCGGCCACAUUGGGACUGAGACACGGCCCAAACUCCUACGGGAGGCAGCAGUGGGGAAUAUUGCACAAUGGGGGAAACCCUGAUGCAGCGACGCCGCGUGAAGGAUGAAGUAUUUCGGUAUGUAAACUUCUAUCAGCAGGGAAGAAAAUGACGGUACCUGACUAAGAAGCCCCGGCUAACUACGUGCCAGCAGCCGCGGUAAUACGUAGGGGGCAAGCGUUAUCCGGAUUUACUGGGUGUAAAGGGAGCGUAGACGGCAUGGCAAGUCUGAUGUGAAAACCCGGGGCUCAACCCCGGGACUGCAUUGGAAACUGUCAGGCUAGAGUGUCGGAGAGGCAAGUGGAAUUCCUAGUGUAGCGGUGAAAUGCGUAGAUAUUAGGAGGAACACCAGUGGCGAAGGCGGCUUGCUGGACGAUGACUGACGUUGAGGCUCGAAAGCGUGGGGAGCAAACAGGAUUAGAUACCCUGGUAGUCCACGCCGUANACGAUGACUACUANGUGUCGGGGGACGAC
rnacentral:rRNA from 1 species